CAAAAGGCAAUGAAAAGAACCAGUAGCCGCAACGAGCAUUUCAGAGAGCUGCCGCAGGGUGCGAGGCAGCAUGGGAAGUGCGGUGAACUCAUCUUGGAGCUGUGCGCCUGAACAGACAAGUCAUUCAGUAGGGCGCAACGGAUUACCUGCCGUUAUCCGGGGAAGGCAUUAUCGUGCUGAAGGAGUGCAUAUUUUUGUAUAAAAAUAUGAAGUAGAGUGGUACCGCGAAAGAAUAUGGAGAAGUCUUUCGUCUCUGCA
rnacentral:ncRNA from 1 species